rnacentral:tRNA from 1 species
GGGCGUGUGGUCUAGUGGUAUGAUUCUCGCUUUGGGCGACUUCCUGAAUAACCUGGGUUCAAUUCCCAGCUCGCCCC